CUGACAGCCUUGGAGACUGAAGCCCUCUAUUUAUCCACAGAACAGGUACAGCCUGGGCAGUGGCAGUGCUAGCCUCCACAACUCUUCCCCCACCAACGUGCCUCAACCCUGACCUGGAGGAACCACCUCUAGAGGUGAGAGGGGAAUUCAGUCUCCAUGUCCAUGCAAUCCUUGGCCUUU
ensembl:misc_RNA